AUUGAACGCUGGCGGCAGGCCUAACACAUGCAAGUCGAACGGUAACAGGAAACAGCUUGCUGUUUCGCUGACGAGUGGCGGACGGGUGAGUAAUGUCUGGGAAACUGCCUGAUGGAGGGGGAUAACUACUGGAAACGGUAGCUAAUACCGCAUAACGUCGCAAGACCAAAGAGGGGGACCUUCGGGCCUCUUGCCAUCGGAUGUGCCCAGAUGGGAUUAGCUAGUAGGUGGGGUAACGGCUCACCUAGGCGACGAUCCCUAGCUGGUCUGAGAGGAUGACCAGCCACACUGGAACUGAGACACGGUCCAGACUCCUACGGGAGGCAGCAGUGGGGAAUAUUGCACAAUGGGCGCAAGCCUGAUGCAGCCAUGUCGCGUGUAUGAAGAAGGCCUUCGGGUUGUAAAGUACUUUCAGCGGGGAGGAAGGGAGUAAAGUUAAUACCUUUCAUCUGUGACGUUACCCACAGAAGAAGCACCGGCUAACUCCGUGCCAGCCGCCGCGUAA
rnacentral:rRNA from 1 species